GACGAACGCUGGCGGCGUGCUUAACACAUGCAAGUCGAACGGAAAGGCCCUGCUUUUGUGGGGUGCUCGAGUGGCGAACGGGUGAGUAACACGUGAGUAACCUGCCCUUGACUUUGGGAUAACUUCAGGAAAAUGGGGCUAAUACCGGAUAGGAGCUCCUGCUGCAUGGGGGGGGUUGGAAAGUGCCGGCGGUUGGGGAUGGUCUCGCGGCUUAUGAGCUUGUUGGUGAGGUAGUGGCUGACCAAGGCUUUGACGGGUAGCCGGCCUGAGAGGGUGACCGGCGACAUUGGGACUGAGAGACGGCCCAGAAUCCUACGGGAGGCAGCAGUGGGGAGUCUGGCAGAGUGGGCGCGAGCCAGAUGCAGCAGCGCCGCGUGCGGGAUGACGUCCUUCGGGUUGUAAACCGCUUUCGCCUGUGACGAAGCGUGAGUGACGGUAAUGGGUAAAGAAGCACCGGCUAACUACGUG
rnacentral:rRNA from 1 species